CCGAGUGAUUGUGACCGAACUAUCGAAUAUAAACUUGCAGAAUAGUUGAUUCUACGAAUUCCUUUCAGUUCCAACGUUUUGCCAUUUCAGUUCAAACUUUUUAAUUAAUACACACAAAUUUAUUUUUCCACAAUAAAGGAAGGUAGAAGUUAAUCACAUUCCGUGCACAUCCUUCACAUCACUUUCCGUUAUUUCGAUACAAUUUUAUUAAAAAAUAAAAAAAAAACUUUUUAUAAAGGAUUAAGAGGUCUCAGGCUUUUAGUUGAUAUACUUGUAUGUACCUUAAGAAAAAAUCUAGUAUGAAAGGUAUUAAAUUCUGUCGACCUUUUGUAACGCGCUUUCACAAUAACAC